UAUUAGUAAUAAAACAUUAUUGUUUCUAUUAAGCAAGUUCUAUUCAUAAUUAUUUAUUAUUAUAUAAGCUGUACAGCUACAAAUCCUGUAAUGUAACAUUACACGAUUAAUUGGAACCGUACUUUUAUACUUUUAGACAAGAGAAAAAUUGGAUUGUCAAUUUUUAUCCUCCUCAUGAGAUAAUUUUAUUACAGUCUCGUAAGAUUCAUGGCUCGGGUUAGAGACUGAGCUCGAUGUCUUAUUACGAUUUUAUUAGCACAGGCACCGAUGGCUACGGAAACAAUAUUUUUUUCUGGAUAACCGAACAGAUAUCUAGUACAAGAGAUUCUUGUGUAGGCGAAUACGGUUUCCGAUAUAAAUUUCUCUUUACCUUUAAUAACAUUUUCAAAUUAGAUCAAAGUGCUCUCAAUUCGCGAUUUUGUUUAUAUAAAUUUUAACGUGCAAAAUUACGCUGUACUUGAAAUUGUUAUAAUUACAUCAACUUUACUAAUUUUGUUUUCCUGUAUAAAUUCUGAUGCCAUGGUAAAAAGUGUAUGGAGUACCUACUGCUAUGAUACGAACUAAUUAAUUAUCUCGUAUAUACUUAUAUUUUUGUGAAACCCAAUUAUUGUACAUCAUGUGAACAUUUCUAUCUUAUUUCACGGUACAUGAAUCCGUUAUCUAGGCGAGAUGUAAAGCAAAAACUCCUUAGAUCGUAAACAUUUUUCAUAGUUACAUACAUUUCAAAUAAUAUUUCAACGACUGGAGCGGAAAAUGCGUGGGGGCGUCUAAAAAAGAUCACAGAUAUGUUGAAGAUCUGUUAUUCGAAGAAUAAACGAACCUCUGUUAUUUAGUACACAUUAUUUAACACGGGUAUGUGGAUUACUAAUUAAAUGGAACGUAAUGUAAAUCUUGUUCGCUAUAAAUCUAAUUGGGCUCACGUAGCAUAAAUACUUCGUCUAAAUUUGUUGGUUUUAUUGACAUCCAACACAGUUGAGAACACCGUCAUCAAGGUUGGAAAUAUUUCUGUCUUAACGUCCAGACUAUGCGAUGGAUUUACAAAAAUAAAUCCGUCUAUUAAAAAAAACGCCCGUCAACGUAUAAAGCUAUUAGAAACAUGAUCAGUAAGUUAGUAUCUUAAACAGUAAUAAUGUAAUUGAUACAUAUCUUCAAAAUAUCUUAAAUCUUAAAGCUCAUUCAGUGAAGGCGAGACGUGCUAUUUUAAGUAUUAUGAAGUAAUGGACAUUAUUUUGGUAUAUACGCUUGUUAGUAACAUGUGGGCCGGUGGUAUGGAAGGUGUGUAAAGUGUUUAUAGUUAUAUGAAGAUAUUUUAGUUUAAAUGUCAAUACCUGUUCGGAGAAGUGUUUCGUGCGAGCGGCGAGGUAGCCGAUCUCUAACUGAGGGACGGGCGAGCGCCCACGCAGCUGGAUAUCUAAAGUUUACAGUUCACGUGAUGGAAUAAGCAACGUGUGUGAUACUGACGAGGAGAAAUUUUUAAUUACAUUUUUUUAUAUACCGACGCUACCAACCGCCAGCCCCUUUGAAUACAGAUAAAAUUGCUUGUCUAAUUUAGACUUAAAAAAUUAGCAUUUCAAAUAGCUUCAAAUAUACUUUGUUCAUACAAUUAGAGUUACAAAAAUAGAAGAACAGGUGUUCGGAUGCAGAGAAUCUCUGGCAAGAUAAUAAAUGUUUGAAGUGGAAUGUAAAAAAAAUUCCUAUUUCCAAUCCCGACGACGCGGCGCUUAGUAAAUGGAGUCGAAGGGAUCGUUUUCAGUUUCUGUCGGCAAAACACAGGUUUCAGACAUGCUCCUAGCGUUAUAUCAAAGCAUUUUUCCUAACUAGCAGCGAGUUGUGUUAAGUGGAGCGUUUACCGGUGCUUGAGGUGGCAUCUCAGGGUCUGAGCGACGUCCGAAGCGCAAGCGGCGGGAAGGCGAGCGAACAGAUUUGCGAGCCAGCGCGUGUCCAUCAAGAGCGUCAUGCUGGGCGAGUAGAGCGUACAACCCGCCCAAGGCAUCCCAUCCGCUGCGACUAUCCAACGCAUUACCUGUUAAAUAAACAAAUAAAUAUAUGUACAUAACUUUAUAUAUAGGUUGUACCUCAAUAAUCACAAUGUCAUUAUUAUGUUUGUUUAUAUUCACUGCACAUGAAUGUGUCUGCAUAACCGCAGGGAAUCAUUAUGUAUAGUUAAUAUUGAUUUAAAUGAAACGAAAUUUGGUAAACCAAUGAUUAUAUUGUUCGUGUAUUCAAUACGAUUAUAGAGAUGUAGUAAACAAUAGUUUGAAUUAUUUUAAGUGAAUUGGUACUUACCAAUAUAAGCAUAGUUGUAAAACAUCACAAAACAUUUAUAACUAAUAAUAUUCAACAAAUAACUCAUACAUAUCAAUUUCAGUUAAGAAAUAGCUUAAAGUAAAUAGAUGAUACUUAUUUCACUUUGAUUUUUUAUGUUUUGGGGUAUGGAAUGCAGUCAUAAAUAAGGAGGUGACCGUUGUCAGGUAAGGGACUAUUGUGUAGACGAGGGUGAUUUGAGAUUUUAUUAUUACCGAUACGUAUAAAUAGUAUUGGAGUUGGAAGAAGAUAUGGCAAGAAACAGCAGCAUAACUAAAUAAUCUUAUAAUUUUUUAGUGAAUUUUGAAGUUAGUUUGCAGUAAAGAACUAUUUGGCUUUAAUAUAAUCUUCAGUCAAUUUCAUGACAAAAACUGAAUAAGGCUAAUAUAAGAUUAUUAUUACUGAUAAUGCUGAUUUGUCCUCCAGAGUUUACUGUAAAUACAGGUAUUAUUGAAUAAGUAAAGAGUCAAAUCUUUUUUUCUUCUAUACAUUCUUAGCGGUAUUUAGCUUAAUAUUAUCUUAGAAACGUAAGGUUUACAACGUCCAAUUUAUACGUUUGUGAAAAAGAUUUGUGAAGAGGGUGACCUCUUCACGAAAUGCUAUUGAAUUCGCGAGGUCCAUUGUUAACAUUCAAUAUUAUGAAUAUAUUUGUAGUCACGAUCCUCAUAACACUUUAUUACUGAAAAUAUUUAAAUCUAUAAAACAUCACUUCUUAAAUUAUUUUUUUAUUUUAAUAUUUAUUGGAGAAAUAUAGCAGAUUUAUUUAUAAUAUUUGUAUUUAUUUAAUUUUCUGUGUCUACUAUGUGACCAUAGAACUGAUGUAUAAAUUAAUUGAUUUUCAGUACUAUUGAGACACUAUAAAUUGAUGUUAUUAAUGAGGUUUUCUCUAAAUAUGUUUAAUUAUAAAGAAUCUUGUAAUAUUCUGGAAUAAAAUCUGAUUUUAAUAUAAUAAUAACGUUUUAAUAUGAACACAAUUUUAACGUUUAUGUGUCAUCAAUUAUAAAAUAUUAAAUUAUUUAAAUUCAUAUUCAUCUCCGCUUGUACUUCGUUAACAUUGUGUUAUUACAUUAAAAUAUGCAAAUACUUCGUUAAACCGCCGGAUCCAAUUAGUGAGUGUUAUGCUCCUAUUACUAUCGCAUACAUAUGUCAAUUUUAUACAUAAAUGUCAAUUUCAGAAACGACACAAUUGAAAAUGACGUAAAUUAAUUGUUGAAUUUCGUUUCAUACGUCAUCGUUUCACAUAAAAUGAUGACACAAUACUUGCAGUAUAAGUAACAAGCUUACCAAACACCUAAUUGAAACUUAAACAAUAAAUUAUUUAUAUAUUGGUGUAUGCGAAUAAGUUAACUAUUAUAAGGGAUGAAUCAAUUUCAAAAAUAUAUCAGUAUAAAUAAUGUUUCGAUUGCUGUCUAACUGUAACGAAAAGAAAAUGAAAAAAAAAUACUCCGACGCAUUUAUUAAUAUUUAAUUAUUGUACUGACUCGCUUGACACACGUAAUUAAGUAAUCACACUCCAAGAAUUCCUAAGAAUACUUUGGAAAACAACUAAGAACUGUCGACAAGCUAUAUAUAUAAGGUCGAUAUAUAGCAUCCCUCUUUUUGGGUCGGGGGUUGGAAAUGGUUUAAACGGAUGGCAAACAAGUCGUCGUUAAUCGUAUUAAUGAUAACUACAGCAUCAUUUAAAAAUAUAAACAUCAAAGUAAAGGAAAAGCAACAUUAAUAUAUAAUAAAACACAUUAAAAAUAUUUAACAGUGGAAGAACAAUCAAAAUCUAAUUAAAUUCUAACUAAGUAUGAGGUAACUAACUGUAAAGGAUGUAUGUGUUAUACUUUUAUUUCCAUGGUGAUUUUGCGUUUCUAGUCCCAACUCGUGUAUUUGGUAUAAAUAAAAUGUAAUAAAUGUAAAAAUUUAAUUGAACAAUAAGCGCUGUGUGAUAUUCAAUAACUAUUGAUAAGGAUGUGAGAGAAUAUCAAUAAAAAAAUACAUUAUCUUAUAUGCUUACAGAAAACAACAGUAAAUAGUGUUGAAAAUUCCGUAUUAUUAAAAGCGUCCUCUUAUUUUAAUAUAAUCAUUUGUUACAA